rnacentral:rRNA from 1 species
GACGAACGCUGGCGGCGUGCUUAACACAUGCAAGUCGAACGGAAAGGCCCUGCUUUUGUGGGGUGCUCGAGUGGCGAACGGGUGCGUAACACGUGAGUAACCUGCCCUUGACUUUGGGAUAACUUCAGGAAACUGGGGCUAAUACCGUAUAGGAGCUCCUGCUGCAUGGUGGGGGUUGGAACGUUUCGGCGGUUGGGGAUGGACUCGCGGCUUAUCAGCUUGUUGGUUGGGUAGUGGCUUACCAAGGCUUUGACGGGUAGCCGGCCUGAGAGGGUGAACGGCCACAUUGGGACUGAGAUACGCACCAGACUCCUACGGGAGGCAGCAGUGGGAAAUAUUGCACAAUGGGCGGAAGCCUGAUGCAGCAACGCCGCGUGCGGGAUGACGGCCUGCGGGUUGUAAACCGCUGUCGCCUGUGACGAAGCGGGAGUGACGGUAAUGGGUAAAGAAGCACCGGCUAACUACGUG